rnacentral:rRNA from 1 species
UACAGAGGGGGCAAGCGUUAUUCGGAAUUAUUGGGCGUAAAGGGCUCGUAGGCGGCUUGGCAAGUGGAAGGUGAAAUCCCUCGGCUUAACCGAGGAACUGCCCUCCAAACUGCUUGGCUUGAGACCGGGAGAGGUGAGUGGAAUUCCCAGUGUAGCGGUGAAAUGCGUAGAUAUUGGGAGGAACACCAGUGGCGAAGGCGGCUCACUGGACCGGUACUGACGCUGAUGCGCGAAAGCGUGGGGAGCAAACGGG